rnacentral:rRNA from 1 species
CAGCCGCCGCGGUAAUACGUAGGGUGCGAGCGUUGUCCGGAAUUAUUGGGCGUAAAGAGCUCGUAGGCGGCUUGUCGCGUCGAAUGUGAAAGCCCGGGGCUUAACUCCGGGUCUGCAUUCGAUACGGGCAGGCUAGAGUGUGGUAGGGGAGAUCGGAAUUCCUGGUGUAGCGGUGAAAUGCGCAGAUAUCAGGAGGAACACCGGUGGCGAAGGCGGAUCUCUGGGCCAUUACUGACGCUGAGGAGCGAAAGCGUGGGGAGCGAACAGGAUUAGAUACCCCAGUAGUCCCUGUCUCUUAUAA